rnacentral:rRNA from 1 species
CCUACGGGUUGCAGCAGUAGGGAAUCUUCGGCAAUGGACGAAAGUCUGACUGAGCAACGCCGCGUGAGUGAAGAAGGUUUUCGGAUCGGAAAACUCUGUUGGUAGAGAAGAACGUUGGUGAGAGUGGAAAGCUCAUCAAGUGACGGUAACUACCCAGAAAGGGACGGCUAACUACGUGCCAGCAGCCGCGGUAUUACGUAGGUCCCGAGCGUUGUCCGGAUUUAUUGGGCGUAAAGCGAGCGCAGGUGGUUUAUUAAGUCUGGUGUAAAAGGCAGUGGCUCAACCAUUGUAUGCCUUGGAAACUGGUAGACUUGAGUGCAGGAGAGGAGAGUGGAAUUCCAUGUGUAGCGGUGAAAUGCGUAGAUAUAUGGAGGAACACCGGUGGCGAAAGCGGCUCUCCGGCCUGUAACUGACACUGAGGCUUGAAAGCGUGGGGAGCAAACAGGAUUAGAUACCCGAGUAGUC